rnacentral:rRNA from 1 species
UACAGAGGUCUCAAGCGUUGUUCGGAUUCAUUGGGCGUAAAGGGCGCGUAGGCUGCGGGGCAAGUCGGUCGUGAAAUCCUCGGCUCAACGAAGAACGUCGAUCGAUACUGCUGUUCUUGAGGGUUGCAGAGGAGACUGGAAUUCCCGGUGUAGCGGUGAAAUGUGUAGAGAUCGGGAGGAACACCGGUGGCGAAGGCGGGUCUCUGGGCAAUUCCUGACGCUGAGGCGCGAAAGCGUGGGGAGCAAACGGG